rnacentral:rRNA from 1 species
CUACGGGGCGCUGCAGUGGGGAAUAUUGCACAAUGGGCGCAAGCCUGAUGCAGCAACGCCGUGUGAGUGAUGACGGCCUUCGGGUUGUAAAACUCUGUCCUAAGGGAAGAAACAAAUGACGGUACCUUAGGAGGAAGCCCCGGCUAACUACGUGCCAGCAGCCGCGGUAAUACGUAGGGGGCAAGCGUUAUCCGGAAUCACUGGGCGUAAAGGGUGCGUAGGCGGCUUAGCAAGCCAGGGGUGAAAGGCAUUGGCUCAACCAAUGUAAGCCUUUGGAACUGCUAGGCUUGAGUGCAGGAGAGGUAAGUGGAAUUCCUAGUGUAGAGGUGAAAUUCGUAGAUAUUAGGAGGAACACCAGUGGCGAAGGCGACUUACUGGACUGUAACUGACGCUGAGGCACGAAAGCGUGGGGAGCGAACAGGAUUAGAUACCCGUGUAGUC